GAUGAACGCUGGCGGCGUGCCUAAUACAUGCAAGUCGAGCGAAUGGAUUAAGAGCUUGCUCUUAUGAAGUUAGCGGCGGACGGGUGAGUAACACGUGGGUAACCUGCCCAUAAGACUGGGAUAACUCCGGGAAACCGGGGCUAAUACCGGAUAACAUUUUGAACCGCAUGGUUCGAAAUUGAAAGGCGGCUUCGGCUGUCACUUAUGGAUGGACCCGCGUCGCAUUAGCUAGUUGGUGAGGUAACGGCUCACCAAGGCAACGAUGCGUAGCCGACCUGUGUGGGUGAUCGGCCACACUGGGACUGAGACACGGCCCAGACUCCUACGGGAGGCAGCAGUAGGGAAUCUUCCGCAAUGGACGAAAGUCUGACGGAGCAACGCCGCGUGAGUGAUGAAGGCUUUCGGGUCGUAAAACUCUGUUGUUAGGGAAGAACAAGUGCUAGUUGAAUAAGCUGGCACCUUGACGGUACCUAACCAGAAAGCCACGGCUAACUACGUGCCAGCAGCCGCCGCAG
rnacentral:rRNA from 1 species